CCUGCUGUCAGAAUUUCAGUGUGGCUGGGAUAGGCACUACAACAAAUCGCAUGCUUCCUAGUUGUUCGCUCGUGAUGUUUGUUUUUGUUGCAGUGGGCUUCGGUGUGCUAUUGUGACUGCUGUUGUUGUUCUUAUUUUUGCUUGUGCUGGCGACGGUGGUGGUGGUGUUUGCCCGAACAAAACGGCGUGAGUGUCCUUGCAUUGCUCAGCAGCGGCGCCAAUGCAAUAACAACGGCAACAACAACAAUACUGACUGACAUAAGGAGCAAACGAAAAGUUUCGAAAGAGCCAGUCAUCCUGCUGCCUUCUGCCUGAUAUUGCUGGUGUAUCCAUCCAAAUCGCGAAAACUGUUGUGCCGUAAAGAAAGCCGUCAAACAAUAACAAAAAAACAGAGCACAUUUUUAAGCCGUGUUUUUUGUCAAAGUGCAGCAAUAAAAAAUUCAACCAUCCAUCUUUUAGCGCAACAAAUACGACUAAACAAUAAAAAUCGUAACAGACGGAUAGUAUUUAUACAGUAGCAUAGUUGUAGAGCGUAAAUUUUUCCGAAUCGAAACCACAGUGUGUGCAUAGCAGCAGUGUACUUUUGUUGAAGGAAUUCUUGCGUGAAAAGAUUAAAUUAAAAUAUUGUAGAAAAUUUAAAAGCAAAACGAAAUCAACUUAAAGUUUCACAAACAUAUCCUUAGAGAAGAAAAUAUUAAAAAUUAAAAUAAAUAAAAGAAUUUAAUUCAAAAAUUAAAUCCCAUACUCGUCGGCAUACCAAUAGUCCAACAGACCAACUCAUCAACCAACCAACCAACCAAAUCACACACUUUAGUGUUCUUUGUAAUCCAAUUAAGUCCAACUGCUGCGUUUCUAUUUGUGCAAGUGUUUGUUUGAAACGCCGCCCCAACAAUAUCAACAUAAAAUCGCCGCCCGUCGUACAUACAUCAAACAGACAAGAGCACUGAUACUGUUAUUUUCACUUUAAACAAAUCCUACUACAGCUAUCCGCACACAAAGCAGCAGCAACAACCAUCACCAAGGCUUCAUCUUGUCAACAACGACUGUUGGUGUAAAUCAAUCCAAGCCACCUUUAAACAAAAAAAAAAUCAAUAAAUUUCUUAGUUUACUUAGUCGUCGCUAGUCGUUCUCAGUCAUUGUCAGUGCGAGUUAGUCGUCAUCAUGUUGAUUGGAUUAGUACGCGACUCUGUAAUGCAGUGCUUCUGCCAUACAUGCCGGGCUCCCAUUUUGCCAGCUGUAUCGCGGAGAUCGGCACCCAUUAAGAAGAACAAUAAAAUACGCUCAAAACAGCCGCGUCUUUCCAAGAAAGUGAAAUUUAUCA